rnacentral:misc_RNA from 1 species
GAUGAAGAACGCAGCGAAAUGCGAUAAGUAAUGUGAAUUGCAGAAUUCAGUGAAUCAUCGAAUCUUUGAACGCACCUUGCACCCUUUGGCAUUCCGAAGGGUAUGCUCGUUUGAGUGUCAUUGUACUCUCACUCUCCCGUUGCUUUUGGAUCGGGAGUGGUGGACUUGGGUGUUGCUGCUUUGCUGUGGCUCGCCUCAAAUGGAGUAGUGCAACUCUUGGUUGGACAUAGUACGGCGUGAUAAGUGUCUUCGCCGGCGCCUCAUUAUAGAGGGUGGCCGAUCGGGAGCUCUGUGCUUCAAACCGUCUUCGGACAACAUCUGACAACUUGACCUCAAAUCGAGUAGGACUACCCGCUGAACUUAAGCAUAUCAAUAAGCGGAGGA